GACGGAGGAUGCAAGCGUUAUCCGGAAUUAUUGGGCGUAAAGCGUCCGCAGGUGGCUAAUUAAGUCUGCUGUUAAAGUCCAGGGCUUAACUCUGGGAAGGCGGUGGAAACUGGAUAGCUUGAGUGCGACAGGGGUAGAGGGAAUUCCCAGUGUAGCGGUGAAAUGCGUAGAUAUUGGGAAGAACACCAGUGGCGAAGGCGCUCUACUGGGUCGCAACUGACACUCAUGGACGAAAGCUAGGGGAGCGAAAGGG
rnacentral:rRNA from 1 species